ACGGGUGAGUAAUGUCUGGGGAUCUGCCCGAUAGAGGGGGAUAACCACUGGAAACGGUGGCUAAUACCGCAUAACGUCGCAAGACCAAAGAGGGGGACCUUCGGGCCUCUCACUAUCGGAUGAACCCAGAUGGGAUUAGCUAGUAGGCGGGGUAACGGCCCACCUAGGCGACGAUCCCUAGCUGGUCUGAGAGGAUGACCAGCCACACUGGAACUGAGACACGGUCCAGACUCCUACGGGAGGCAGCAGUGGGGAAUAUUGCACAAUGGGCGCAAGCCUGAUGCAGCCAUGCCGCGUGUAUGAAGAAGGCCUUCGGGUUGUAAAGUACUUUCAGCGGGGAGGAAGGCGAUAAGGUUAAUAACCUUGUCGAUUGACGUUACCCGCAGAAGAAGCACCGGCUAACUCCGUGCCAGCAGCCGCGGUAAUACGGAGGGUGCAAGCGUUAAUCGGAAUUACUGGGCGUAAAGCGCACGCAGGCGGUCUGUUAAGUCAGAUGUGAAAUCCCCGGGCUUAACCUGGGAACUGCAUUUGAAACUGGCAGGCUUGAGUCUCGUAGAGGGGGGUAGAAUUCCAGGUGUAGCGG
rnacentral:rRNA from 1 species